UGGGGAAUAUUGGACAAUGGGCGCAAGCCUGAUCCAGCCAUGCCGCGUGAGUGAUGAAGGCCUUAGGGUUGUAAAGCUCUUUUGCCGGGGACGAUAAUGACGGUACCCGGAGAAUAAGUCCCGGCUAACUUCGUGCCAGCAGCCGCGGUAAUACGAAGGGGACUAGCGUUGUUCGGAAUCACUGGGCGUAAAGCGCACGUAGGCGGAUUUGUAAGUCAGGGGUGAAAUCCCGGGGCUCAACCUCGGAACUGCCUUUGAUACUGCGAAUCUUGAGUCCGAUAGAGGUGGGUGGAAUUCCUAGUGUAGAGGUGAAAUUCGUAGAUAUUAGGAAGAACACCGGUGGCGAAGGCGGCCCACUGGAUCGGUACUGACGCUGAGGUGCGAAAGCGUGGGGAGCAAACA
rnacentral:rRNA from 1 species